GGUCCUGCCUGCCCUGUGACCAUGAGUUUAACGGCCGCGGUAUUUUAACCGUGCGAAGGUAGCGCAAUCACUUGUCCUUUAAAUGGAGACCAGUAUGAACGGCAAGACGAGGGCUUAACUGUCUCCUUUUUCAAGUCAAUGAAAUUGAUCUCUCCGUGCAGAAGCGGGGAUACAAACAUAAGACGAGAAGACCCUGUGGAGCUUCAGACACCAAGACAAAUCACGUUUAUAGCCCCAGAAUAAAGGACUGAACUAGUGAAGCCUUGCUCUGACGUCUUCGGUUGGGGCGACCAUGGGGAAAGAAAAAACCCCCACGUGGAAUGGGAGCACUAACAUUUUAUCCUCCCACAACCAAGAGCUACAACUCUAAGUAACAGAAUAUCUGACCUUAUAGAUCCGGCUUUUCUCCCGAUCAACAAACCAAGUUACCCCAGGGAUAACAGCGCAAUCCCCUUUUAGAGCCCAUAUCGACAAGGGGGUUUACGACCUCGAUGUUGGAUCAGGACAUCCCAAUGGCGCAGCCGCUAUUAAAGGUUCGUUUGUUCAACGAUUAAAGUCCUACGUGAUC
rnacentral:rRNA from 1 species